UACGUAGGGUGCAAGCGUUGUCCGGAAUUAUUGGGCGUAAAGAGCUCGUAGGCGGUCUGUUGCGUCGGCUGUGAAAACCCGGGGCUCAACCCCGGGCCUGCAGCCGAUACGGGCAGACUAGAGUUCGGCAGGGGAGACUGGAAUUCCUGGUGUAGCGGUGAAAUGCGCAGAUAUCAGGAGGAACACCAAUAGCGAAGGCAGCUCGCUGGGACGUUACUGACACUGAGGCGCGAAAGCGUGGGGAGCGAACAGG
rnacentral:rRNA from 1 species